GGGAGAUAUCCAAAUCCCCAAUGGUUCAUAAGACGGUGUGUUUGGCGGAUGAGGUUUCGCGAAAGAGGGAGCUGUUUGAGAAAGAGCAGGAUGGAGCAGAGAAAUCACAUCUGUUCUCCAAGCAGGAUUUUCGGAAUUUAUCUUCAGGAAUCUCUGAUCGGAUAAUCGUUGGGUUCAGAAGAAAACAUUCAACAUCUCAUCAUCUCCUACGGAUCUGAGACAUGUGAACAUCUCCAGUAAGAAAAGUCUGUUUGAAAGAGCAGAAGAGCAGGACCACAAGUGAAGCUCAAGCGGCUAAAUGCAAACUUUCCUGAGAUGCAUCUGAUAAUUGAUCUCUGAAGAUUUUGAAGGAAUCGACUCUCUCAGACAGUCAGUGUUGAGGACUGUCUCUAAACUCC